rnacentral:tRNA from 1 species
GGUGUGCGUAAUUUAAAGAAAAUAUCAAGCUGUGACCUUGAAAAUAGAUUAACCUCGCACACC